rnacentral:rRNA from 1 species
GACGAACGCUGGCGGCGUGCUUAACACAUGCAAGUCGAACGGAAAGGCCCUGCUUUUGUGGGGUGCUCGAGUGGCGAACGGGUGAGUAACACGUGAGUAACCUGCCCUUGACUUUGGGAUAACUUCAGGAAACUGGGGCUAAUACCGGAUAGGAGCUCCUGCUGCAUGGUGGGGGUUGGAAAGUUUCGGCGGUUGGGGAUGGACUCGCGGCUUAUCAGCUUGGUGGUGGGGUAGUGGCUUACCAAGGCUUUGACGGGUAGCCGGCCUGAGAGGGUGACCGGCCACAUUGGGACUGAGAUACGGCCCAGACUCCUACGGGAGGCAGCAGUGGGGAAUAUUGCACAAUGGGCGGAAGCCUGAUGCAGCAACGCCGCGUGCGGGAUGACGGCCUUCGGGUUGUAAACCGCUUUCGCCUGUGACGAAGCGUGAGUGACGGUAAUGUGUAAAGAAGCACCGGCUAACUACGUG